rnacentral:rRNA from 1 species
CACGUAGGGGACGAGCGUUGUCCGGAUUCAUUGGGCGUAAAGCGCGCGUAGGCGGCUCGGAAAGUCGGUCGUGAAAUGCCGGGGCUCAACCCCGGGACUGCGUCCGAUACUCCCGAGCUGGAGGCAGGUAGGGGAGAUCGGAAUUCCUGGUGUAGCGGUGAAAUGCGCAGAUAUCAGGAGGAACACCGGUGGCGAAAGCGGCUUCCGUGGUCCGAGCACCGACGUUCAGGCACGGAAGCGUGGGGAGCAAACAGGG